CAGAAACGCAUGGUGAGUCAGCCUGUUGCCAAAGUUGCACUAGUCUCUGGAACAGUCUGGCUGGGGGACCUGAGAGACUCCAACUCUGAGGGCAUUUUUAAAAGAAACCUGAGGGGAAUGUGACCACGGGCCCCACCUACUUUCUGCCCCCUUUUUUUUUGAGCUGUUGUUUUACACUUUGCAGUUUGGUAUUUAAGCCCUUCAAUGGAUGUAGUCUUGCAUCUCCUAUAAACCAAGCUACCUCAUUAGAGUAAACGACUUCUCCUGAAGAUGUCAGUAGGGGGCUUUGAGAUCAUAGGGCCCGACGCCAGUGCAGAAGUCGAAGCCUCUCUGACAUCUGUCAGCAUCAAAGUCUUUGGCAAAGCACAACUGGCCAGUGCUUCACUCACCGCUGGUCCUGUGAAAGCUACAGUCGGUCUGGCAGCAGAUACUGGUGCCAAGAUCAGUUUGGCAGGUGUAGAGGCAAAGGUGUUCGGGACAGGCUUCUCCUUUGGUCGUAAAAUGGGCCUUUCUUGGCUUGGCAAUGGGAUUGAAUUAAAUUUGUGGUAAAAUGUGGCUUUGUGCCAAAUAGGCCUACUGCUCUUUGUGAUUAAGACUUUUGCCUUCUAUUCAAACAAUGAAAGCAUUCAACUGCAGCAUUUACAAAUGAAACUUGUUGUGACAGUAGUGUAUGUCUUCUCUGUAGAUAAACAUUUGAACUUGAUAUGUGAUUUUCAGUCUCUAAUUCUUUAGAGAACAGAGAAAACAAAAAUUACCAGUUUCUGUCUAAAUAAAGUACACAAAUGAGAUUUUUGUACUUUUACA